rnacentral:lncRNA from 1 species
CCUGCUUGCUCCUCAGGAUCCGGCUAGCCGUCACUUUUGUGCAGGCGCCUCGGUGCGGCGAUGGAUCUGAGCCGCGGGCUGGGCAUGAGACCACGCCCCCUUGUAGAACCACGCCCCUACACAAACAGGCCACGCCUCCGCAGGCGCUCACUGGCUCAGCAAAUGGUAGGGCACGGGCGGUGUACGAAGGGGCCAAUGGCAGCAGACAGGGUGUGGCGGGGGCGGGGCGGGGCGUGGCCUGGGGACGGGAGAUUCCUCCGGAAUAGCCUAGCGCCGGACGCCGGACGCCGGACGCCGGACGCCGAGGCGAGGGCGGCGCAGGGUGUUCCGUGGCGGGAACUGUGGGGCGGAGAGAGGAAGAAGGAGACUCGGGCAGAGUAAAACAGGGUGCGUGUGCACCCCGACAGAGACUCGAGAGGAUAAAGCAAAGAGACACGCCCCCGCGAGGCACCAAGAGGCACAUGGACCCCUCCGGGCCGGUCUCAGUUUACCCACUGAGUAGACAGGGUGCCACUGGGACCCCCGUGACAAAUGCACCCCAACAUUUGGCUUGGGACGAUCUUUGGGUGUCAUGAGUCCUGUGAAGAAGCCCUUCGGUGGGUGUCGCUGGGGCUGGAGAGAUGGCUCAGAAGUUAAGAGCACUGAUUGCUCUUCCAGAGGACCUGAGUUCAAUUCCCAGCAACCACAUGGUGGCUCCCAACCAUCCGUUAUGAGAUCUGGUGCCCCUUUCUGGUGUGUAGGUAUACAUGGAAGCAGAAUGUUGUAUACAUAAUAAAUAAAAUCUUUUAAAAAUUUAUUUUAA